CCGAGAAGGGCAGACCUCAUCAGCGCUUGUGUUUAUCAAGUCAAUGUGUAUAUCACUCUCCGCUCACAGAGCGGCCUCUAGGAGCGGCGAGAUGCCGGCUUCAUCUCCUGCAGAUGGAUCCAGUGGUGAGUGAGCAUGGAGUAACUCCAUAAUGGGGGGACAAGUGCCCGUCUCUCCCCCCCCCCCCCUGGCUCACUGGGCACGCCUCACAAGGGACUACAACACCAUCAACACCUUGCUGGACGCCUUCAUGUAUGAGGAGUGAGGGCGGGAGGUCAUCUGAGACUUCACAAUGGUGGCAUUCCUGACGGGUCUCCAAGGCGGUUUAAUACAUAGUUUCCUUCUACUGUCUUUGAAGUUUGAAGGGAUAAUAAUAAUCAUUUUCUAUUCUUUUCAGGCAUAAGCUAUUCGGAAAUUGCAUUACAUUGUGCAAUAAUGUUCGUAAAAAUUAUACCGGUAUUGAUGAUAUAUAUAUAUAUAUAUAUAUAUAUUAUAUAUAUGUCUCUUAUUCUAUAUCUCUGAGCCUCGAUAUAUUUUUUUGUUUCUAAAAAUCACAGCCUGUACCUCUUGACGAAGUUACGAUUCACUAUCUCUCUACAAAGUUGUAAAUCCCUCUCUCAGGCUCUUUUAUCCAUCUAGAGCUCUGUGGUUGCUGUUUUUUCUUUCUUUUUCCUGUUUGUACUCGCCCAGUAUACCGCCCGGUGAGUUUACCCCCCCCCCCCCCCCCCCCCAAGUUCUAAGGAUAAAUGGAUUUUUACUCUGAAAGAACCGGCUUUGUUGUGUUCAAAGUAGAUCACCGCUAGCAAUACAUAUUUGAUCCGAUUUCCGACCGCAGAGACCAUGUGUCUCACUUUUUGGCUGCAGAUACCAUGUUUCUCACCUUAUGACCGCAGAUACCAUGUGUCUCAUCUUAUGCCCACAGAGACAAUGUGUCUCAUCUUAUGCCCACAGAGACAAUGUGUCUCACCUUAUGCCCACAGAGACAAUGUGUCUCACCUUAUGCCCACAGAGACAAUGUGUCUCACCUUAUGCCCACAGAGACAAUGUGUCUCAUCUUAUGCCCACAGAGACAAUGUGUCUUAUCUUAUGCCCACAGAGACAAUGUUCUCACCUUAUGCCCACAGAGGCAAUGUUUCUCACCUUCAGGUGAGAGAAGACAUUUUUACUUUAUAUUUUAUGUUCAAUCCAUAAUUUUUUGUCUAGCUUUGUGCUUGAGACAAUGGUUGUAUAGAAACUGUUUGCUUACAAAAAUGAUGAGAUAUUUCUCAUGUUAUGUCCCUGAAGGCAAAAAGACUUAGUGCUACUUUAUGCCCCUGCGGCCAAAUGUUUUAUAUUAAUUUAUGCCCCCAUAGACAAAAUGUAUGUCUAUUACUAUAUAUCCGAAGGAAAAUAUUUUAUAUUGAUUUCCGAAUAUUCAUGACUUUAUGUGUUGGGGACAAUA